GUAGGGAAUAUUGCACAAUGGAGGAAACUCUGAUGCAGCGACGCCGCGUGAGUGAUGAAGGCCUUCGGGUCGUAAAGCUCUGUCGCAGGGGAAUAACACAAUGAAGGUACCCUGUAAGAAAGGAUCGGCUAACUUCGUGCCAGCAGCCGCGGUAAGACGAGGGAUCCUAGCGUUGUUCGGAAUCAUUGGGCGUAAAGCGGAUGUAGGUGGCUAUGUAAGUCAGAUGUGAAAGCCUGGGGCUCAACCCCAGAAGUGCAUUUGAUACUGCGUAGCUUGAGUGUCGGAGAGGUUACUAGAAUUGUUGGUGUAGUGGUGAAAUACGUAGAUAUCAACAGGAAUACCGGAGGCGAAGGCGGGUAACUGGCCGAACACUGACACUGAGAUCCGAAAGCGUGGGGAUCAAACAGGAUUAGAUAACCCAGUAGUCC
rnacentral:rRNA from 1 species